CUUCGUGGAUCAACGUACCACCGAGGAAUUCAAGAGGGUAAGCGCAAGGAAUAAAGUCAAUCGGGCCAAGCUAAAAGGACCUGCGUGUCUUGGGAGGCACAGCAUGGCUGUUACUCGCCAUAAGAUGGCGAUGGAGAAGAAUCUUACCUCUGAUGUCGAGAUAGGUAGAUGUGAAGUCUUCUUAAGAGCCCAUACAAGAAAGGACAAAGUUGUCCAAUAUCCUGACCUUGCU